GACGAACGCUGGCGGCGUGCUUAACACAUGCAAGUCGAACGGAAAGGCCCUGCUUUUGUGGGGUGCUCGAGUGGCGAACGGGUGAGUAACACGUGAGUAACCUGCCCUUGACUUUGGGAUAACUUCAGGAAACUGGGGCUAAUACCGGAUAGGAGCUCCUGCUGCAUGGUGGGGGUUGGAAAGUUUCGGCGGUUGGGGAUGGACUCGCGGCUUAUCAGCUUGUUGGUGGGGUAGUGGCUUACCAAGGCUUUGACGGGUGGCCGGCCUGAGAGGGUGACCGGCCACAUUGGGACUGAGAUACGGCCCAGACUCCUACGGGAGGCAGCAGUGGGGAAUAUUGCACAAUGGGCGGAAGCCUGAUGCGGCAACGCCGCGUGCGGGAUGACGGCCUUCGGGUUGUAAACCGCUUUCGCCUGUGACGAAGCGUGAGUGACGGUAAUGGGUAAAGAAGCACCGGCUAACUACGUG
rnacentral:rRNA from 1 species